rfam:Lepisosteus oculatus linkage group LG11, whole genome shotgun sequence.
GCCAGCAGCUAUAUCACCCUGCAGCUCUCAACUGGCUACCCACUGAAGCUAAGCAGGGUUGAGCCUGGUCAGUAUCUUGAUCAGAGACCUCCUGGUAAGCUAUGGUUGCUGCUGGAA